rnacentral:rRNA from 1 species
AUGGCGCCGCCUCGCCCCCCUCCGGCCCGUGGCGGGCGCCGCCCACCCCCUAAGUCUGCGCCCCUCCGUCCGGAGGAGGAGCUGCUCCUCGAGGCGGCGUCCGACGGCGACCUCGUCCUCUUCAAACGGCUGGCGAGGAUGAUGGACGGCGGGCGCGGGCGCGUCACGGAGGCGGUAGAGGCCGUUGUGGAGUGCACGGCGGGGGCACUGCACCUCGCCGCCGGCCAGGGGGAGCUGGCGAUGUGCAGGUACCUGGUCGAGGAGCUCCGGGUGGAUAUCAACGCCAUCCACGACGGAGGUGAAACGCCUCUGGCUUAUGCAAUUAAUGGUGCAAAUAUAGCUACUGUGAAGUAUCUUCUGGACCAUGGCGCUGAUCCAGAUAAAGUUGAUGACAAAGGAUUUACUUCUCUCCAUAUUGCAGCUGAAGAAGGAUAUUGCAAUAUAGUGGAGCUCUUGCUUUCUAGAGGGGCUUCUGUUGAUGCAUUAUCUAAUCGUGGUACACCACUGCACCUUGCUGCUACUAAUGGUCAUCAUCAAACAGUGAAGAUUUUGUUGGACCACAACGCUGAUUGCAAUAAGAUUGUGAAUGGUGUCUACACACCUCUCCUUGUAUCUAUUUAUGCUCCGUCACUAAAAUGUGUGAAGCUACUAAUCCAGGCUGGUGCUGAUGUAAAUGGUGUGGGUAAUAUAACCCCGUUAAUAGCUGCUGUUGGGUUAACUGAGUGCAUGAAGUGCUUAUUGGAAGCUGGUGCUGACCCAAACGUCCCUGAUGAAUUUGGCAGGAUGCCAAUAGAGUUUGCGGCAAUAUGUGGUACACGAGAAGAUGUUGAGAUCCUAUUUCCUUUAACUUCUCGUAUUCCGUCUGUACGUGAUUGGAGUGUCAAUGGAAUAAUAUGUCACGCAUACUCAUUGCCAGGGCAAAAGUUCUAUGAGAGGGGGUUGGAAAGGGACACCACUAGUUUGAAAUUUCAAGGAAGAAAGGCACUCGAGAGAAAGGAUUAG